rnacentral:lncRNA from 1 species
AUGGCCCCAUUGGAAGACCUAAAAUAUUUCUUCUCUGUUCUUUUACAGAAAGUGUUUGCUGACACUUUUUCUGAGACCUCAAAGAAAGCGAAGGUGACAAGAAAAGAGGAAUUGUGGGAAAUGGAAUCUGUUUCAUCAUCUGAGAGACCAGAACUCAAGAAUGUUAAGAUCCUUUUCUGCUCUCAAUAUGGCCAUCAGAGAAGCAUAGGCAGUUCCAGCUAUUGCGGAAUUCUACACUCAGAAGAACCCACCUAUACCUGGAGAAGUAAUGGUUCUGUGGACUUGUAUUUGGAAGAAAGUCUCCAGGAACCUCUGCAGAGCAUAAAUGCAAACCAGCUGGGACAAGUCUCCCUCUUCCAGCCAAAAGGAGGAAAAGUUUGAUUAUAUGGUGAAGUACAAGGGGCUGGCUAGGUGGCCUUAUGCCAUUUCACCUGCUUGUGAAGCUGAGGCAAGAAGAUGGUGAGUUUGAGGCUAACCUGGAUGACAUGGGGACAUCUCAUCUUCAAAAUAAGCAAGUAAGUCAGUAAAUAAAUAAAUGUAGUUUGUAGCCA